GAGACGAUCUCCUCGGGCCGGGGGCGCGCGCCCUGUCCCGCCCUCCUGCGCCUCCACGCGCGGCCCUCGCGCCUCAGCCAGCGACCUUGUGCGGGAGUGAGGAGCCGAGGGACCGCGGGAGGGCGGCGGCCCACUCUGACGAGCUGUGGGUCCAAGUGCGAGUGGGCGCCCCCAACCAGCGCCCCGCUCUGCGGCGCCGAGACUGCGGCAGCCUGGCCGCCCGCGGCAAGGGCACACAGCAAGGAUCACACUGAACUAUAAGCAAUGGCUGCCACCAGGGCAUUUUGGACUCCUGUGUCCAGGGACCAGCCUGAGAGAAGAAGGGUCACCAUAUUGGCAGAAGUAAUUGACCCUGAUCAGCAGGAGAAGGUCUGUUUACAUUGAAAGUUACAUGCUUGAUGAGUCUGUAAUCAAGCCAAGAGUGUGAAUGGGACAAUCUCAGAUGCUAAUGCCUCUGGACUGUGACAGCCUGAUGCCUGCUGCCCCUGGGGGACCUUCCUGAUGAGAAGAAGUAGGGUUUGUUCAUUGGCUAAUUAUGGUCAUACUAGUUUGGAAUGUGUGAAAUUCAGUUUCUGCAAGCUUGUCACCUGGAAUGUGGUUAAAAAACUGUAAAAACUGUAGAUGGUUGAAGAUUCUCUGUCUUCAUGGCUGCACCAUUACUUCUGACCUGUGCAAAAUAAAAGCAGCUUACAAAAGAGUAUUUCAUGACAUGACUGCCCGUACCUGCUAAUAUUUUUAGGAAAAUAGAAUUUCUAGCAACAAAAACUUUGAAAAUAUACUUAGUUAAAUAUGAACAGAAAAUUUCCCAAUUAAAUUAAGGUAUUAAUUAUUUUUGAAUUUAGAUUGAGAUAGCUAA